AGAGUUUGAUCAUGGCUCAGAUUGAACGCUGGCGGCAUGCCUAACACAUGCAAGUCGAACGAGAAAUCCCGCACAUAACUUAUUGUAUGCAAUUUCGGAUUACUAACUUUUGUCUCUUUGAGAAAAAGCAGCAUUAGUAACAUAAGAAUUUGUAAGUGGGUUAUGUGCGGGAGAGUAAAGUGGCGGACGGGUGAGUAAUACGUAGGAAUCUGCCCUUAAGUGGGGGACAACUCCGCGAAAGCGGAGCUAAUACCGCAUAACCUUGACAUCUUCGGAUGUUAAGCAAAGGGGCCAUACCACUAAGCUGAUUUGUUAAGUCAUCUUAGUGGUGUGGUCUCGCUUUUGGAUGAGCCUACGUCAGAUUAGCUAGUUGGUAGGGUAAUGGCCUACCAAGGCAACGAUCUGUAGCUGGUUUGAGAGAACGACCAGCCACACUGGAACUGAGACACGGUCCAGACUCCUACGGGAGGCAGCAGUGGGGAAUAUUGGACAAUGGGCGCAAGCCUGAUCCAGCAAUGCCGCGUGUGCGAUGAAGGCCUGCGGGUUGUAAAGCACUUUCGUUGGGGAGGAAAAUACCUAGAGCUCAUACCUCUAGGAGUUGACUUAACCCAAAGAAGAAGCACCGGCUAACUCUGUGCCAGCAGCCGCGGUAAUACAGAGGGUGCAAGCUAAUCGGAGUUACUGGGCGUAAAGCGCGCGUAGGCGGAAAUUCAAGUCGGAUGUGAAAUCCUUGGGCUUAACCUGAGAAUUGCAUUCGAUACUGAAUAUCUAGAGUAUUGGAGAGGAAAGUGGAAUUCCCGGUGUAGCGGUAAAAUGCGUAGAUAUCGGGAAGAACACCAGUGGCGAAGGCGGCUUUCUGGCCAAAUACUGACGCUGAGGCGCGAAAGCGUGGGGAGCAAACAGGAUUAGAUACCCUAGUAGUCC
rnacentral:rRNA from 1 species